rnacentral:rRNA from 1 species
UACGUAGGUGGCAAGCGUUGUCCGGAUUUACUGGGCGUAAAGAGCGCGCAGGCGGUCGUUCAAGUCGCGUGUGAAAGCCCCCGGCUCAACUGGGGAGGGUCACGCGAUACUGAUCGACUCGAAGGCAGGAGAGGGUAGUGGAAUUCCCGGUGUAGCGGUGAAAUGCGUAGAUAUCUGGAGGAACACCGGUGGCGAAGGCGGCAUCCUGGACCAACACUGACGCUGAGGCGCGAAAGCUAGGGGAGCAAACGGG